UACGUAGGGGGCGAGCGUUGUCCGGAUUUAUUGGGCGUAAAGAGCGUGUAGGCGGCCUGGCAGGUCUGCUGUGAAAACUCGAGGCUUAACCUCGAGAUGUCGGCGGAAACCAUCUGGCUAGAGUCCGGAAGAGGAGAGUGGAAUUCCUGGUGUAGCGGUGAAAUGCGCAGAUAUCAGGAAGAACACCCGUGGCGAAGGCGGCUCUCUGGGACGGUACUGACGCUGAGACGCGAAAAGCGUGGGGAGCGAACAGG
rnacentral:rRNA from 1 species